CAAUCUCUGUGGAUAGGAUUGGGUGCUUCCAAGACCAAGUUGAAGUUUCAUAUUUGGCAAUCAAAUGACGAGUUUCAGCAGCUACCUCAAACACCUUUGCAGACCAUAAGCGAUAAGCACUUGAGAUACCAACCUGCUUGCUAGGGCUUCUCCUCCAACCUGCUUUGCUACCUCUGUUGCCAAAUCUCCGAGAUUGGAAGCAAUGUUUCCGAAACCAGCCAUGAUGAUUAAAUGCCUGGAUCAGAUGGUACAAAAACAUAUGUUAAGCACACAGCAUUAGAACAUGAAUUAUCGUGGGAUUGUGAAAGAAAUGAAACAAAGCACAAAAAUCAUGAUACUUAAUUCAUUUCAUAGAGUAUAUUAUUAAUUUAGUUUCAUAUUAGAUAUAUAACGGUUCACGAGCAUUGCCUAACAGCUUAGAGUAUGAUUCUUAUUGC